GUGGUGGUGGUGCAAGAGGGAACAGUGUAGGGAUUGAUCAGUGCAACAUAUCAUUUUUAAGUAUUAACUAUGACUAUGAAAAGACAAGAAUGUAAACAUAUUAGAAUUGCUUGACAGAAAAUAAAAAA